rnacentral:sRNA from 1 species
GCUGAGUGUGGUGGUGCACACCUGUGGUCCCAGCUACUUGGGAGGCUGAGGCAGGAGGAUUGCUUGAGUCCAGGAUGUCAAGGCUGCAGUGAGCUGAGAUUGUACCACUGCACUCCAGUCUGGGCAACAGAGCAAGACCCUGUCUUUC